rnacentral:rRNA from 1 species
GACGAACUGCCGGCGUGCUAACACAUGCAGUCGACAUGAAGCCUUAGCUUGCUAGUUGGAUAGUUGCGAACGGUGAGUAUACGUGGUGACUACCUUGCUCUUGGAUAGCCUUGGAAACUUGGUCUAAUACCGGAUACGACCAAUCUCCGCAUGGGGUGUUGGUGGAAAGCGUUAUGGAGUUGUUUUAGAUUGGCUCACGGCCUAUCAGCUGUUGGUGAGUAAUGGCCUACCAAGGCGACGACGGGUAGCCGGCCUUGAGAGGGUUGACCGGCCACACUGGGACUGAGACACGGCCCAGACCUCCUACGGGAGGCAGCAGUUGGGAAUAUUGCACAAUGGGCGCAAGCCUGAUGCAGCGACGCCGCGUGAGGGAUGACGGCCUUUCGGGUUGUAAACCUCUGUUAGCAUCGAAGAAGCGAAAGUGACGGUAGGUGCAGAGAAAGCGC